rnacentral:lncRNA from 1 species
GAAAGUUGUAUUGUUUAUGUGAUGCACAUGUAAAGGUGACCUCAGUUUACUUCAGUUAAGUGGGUUAUAUUUGUAAUUAUGUCUGGGGUUACCUCAGGUACCCAUGUUAUGAAGAAUGCUUUUGAGAUAGUUUGCUAGUGUAAACAUUUAUGUUGUAAUCGGACAAUUUCUUUAUUUUAAAUGUAGGACUUCAUAGAUGUGUAUUGUUUAUGUGAUAUUUCUGAAAGGCGACUUAAG